GACGAACGCUGGCGGCGUGCUUAACACAUGCAAGUCGAACGGAAAGGCGCUGCUUUUGUGGCGUGCUCGAGUGGCGAACGGGUGAGUAACACGUGAGUAACCUGCCCUUGACUUUGGGAUAACUUCAGGAAACUGGGGCUAAUACCGGAUAGGAGCUCCUGCUGCAUGGUGGGGGUUGGAAAGUUUCGGCGGUUGGGGAUGGACUCGCGGCUUAUCAGCUUGUUGGUGGGGUAGUGGCUUACCAAGGCUUUGACGGGUAGCCGGCCUGAGAGGGUGACCGGCCACAUUGGGACUGAGAUACGGCCCAGACUCCUACGGGAGGCAGCAGUGGGGAAUAUUGCACAAUGGGCGGAAGCCUGAUGCAGCAACGCCGCGUGCGGGAUGACGGCCUUCGGGUUGUAAACCGCUUUCGCCUGUGACGAAGCGUGAGUGACGGUAAUGGGUAAAGAAGCACCGGCUAACUACGUG
rnacentral:rRNA from 1 species